rnacentral:lncRNA from 1 species
AUAGCUGCAGAGUUUUCACCCACAAAAACACUAUGGCAUGAUAGCAGAGUGCGGGAUGACCACUCUUUUUAAUGUUAUAGUUUAACGAUAUUAAAGUUUACAAUAAAUAUUCUACUAUUAAGAUAUAGCAUAAAUCACUCUAAUAGCCAGUGAGGUGUUUUCGAAGUAAAACCCCAGUUCUUUUAAAAUUCUAACAAACCAAAACUGCGCCCCCCCCCCCCCCCCAACCUUGACACAGUGGUUGCCUUGACUAAUUUUUUGUGCAUGUCCUGCAUUUGACCCUUCCCAACCUAGCUUUGUAAGCUCUUUAUAAAUUACAUGCAAUCCCACAUCACUCGAGCCCAAUAAGCCAUCAUUAACCAGAAAACUCAUCUACAUAUGAAUGUGAUGAGCCACCCAAGCCCUCACAUACACAAACACAGUUUAAUUUUUUUCUCCCUCGUCGUCUCUCUUCUUAUGCCCCCUCUACACUACAAAAAAUAUAAGAUACAAAUUACAAUUAAAAAAUUUCAUUCCAGUAACUUCCCACUUCUGUUUUGUGCCAAUAAAGGUAUUUCUGGUCCGACCGAAGUCACUUAGUUUGUCCAGUCUAAUAUGAUUCACAUCAAGUUCAAUGACAUUUGACACCAGUUUGAGAGCAGAUCCGAUCUUAUGACUUAAUAACACUGACUACAAGCUCAGUUUAUAAUCAAAUCAGCAAAUCCAAACAGGCUUGAUAACAGGCUUGAUAACACUACUUGAAACUAAACCUAGACUGGGAUUAUGAUAGGUUGGCGAGUAUAGAACACAUUUGCAUCGACAUGAGUUUGAGAGCCAAUUCAAUAUUAUGACUGACUGAACUGUUCAUAAGUUUGGUUUACGGUCAAACCAACCAGCCAAUCUGACCUGAGUUUAAUAACACUACAUGAAACUGAACAAAUAGUGUAAUUGCACCUAUCAUGUAUCCCCCCUCCUCCUGAUUAUAUUAUUAAUGAUUGGGUUUAUGAUUGUUUGGUGAGUAUAGAACAGAUGUGAUGUUCCGAAAACAAAUAGGAAUGCUUAAGAACGCAUUGGUGUGCCUGAGAGUAAGAUUCAUAAGUGCAACUCUAUGCCAUUUUCUCCCAACCAUAUAUUCUAGUUUUGACUGUUUCUUCGCUCUUCAUUUGUGUGUAUGCAUGAUCUAGGAUUAGGGUUUCGUGAGGGUUCAGAAGGGAUAUUUUCCAAUAUUUGGGGAUUAGAUAUCUUAUUUCAAGAUUUAACUAGGACUGAAUUGUAGAUAUCAUAUCUUAUCUUACCAUAGGAUUUGAUUAUGUUUGAAUUAUAGAUAUUUAAUCUUAUCUUUACUAUUUGAUCAAGCUUGAAGAGUAGACACUUUAUCUAACCUUACUUAGGAUUUGGUACAUUCAAAUCGUAGAUGUCUUGUCAAGUUUAAUCUUAG